GAACGCUGGCGGCGGCCUACACAUGCAAGUCGAACGGUAACAUGACUAGCUUGCUAGUUGAUGACGAGUGGCGGACGGGUGAGUAACGCGUAGGAAUCUACCCAGUAGCGGGGGAUAAGCCAGAGAAAUUUGGUCUAAUACCGCAUACGCCCUACGGGGGAAAGCAGGGGAUCUUCGGACCUUGCACUAUUGGAUGAGCCUGCGUGAGAUUAGCUAGUUGGUGAGGUAAUGGCUCACCAAGGCGACGAUCUCUAGCUGGUCUGAGAGGAUGAUCAGUCACACUGGAACUGAGACACGGUCCAGACUCCUACGGGAGGCAGCAGUGGGGAAUAUUGCACAAUGGGCGCAAGCCUGAUGCAGCCAUGCCGCGUGUGUGAAGAAGGCCCUAGGGUUGUAAAGCACUUUCAGCAGUGAGGAAAGGUUAGUAGUUAAUACCUGCUAGCUGUGACGUUAACUGCAGAAGAAGCACCGGCUAACUCCGUGCCAGCAGCCGCGGUAAUACGGAGGGUGCGAGCGUUAAUCGGAAUUACUGGGCGUAAAGCGCGCGUUAGUGGAUUGGUCAGUCAGAUGUGAAGGCCCA
rnacentral:rRNA from 1 species